AGCAGUUCCUCUCCUCCCCGGUGAAACACAAACACAGCUCGGUGAUAAAGUAGCGGUGGACGGAGUGCCAACCUUGUCCAAUUAUAGUUACACAGUGGUGGAUGUUUCCCUGGAUGUCUCUGCUCCAAUGUACCACAUGAUGGAAGCACCAUAUAACAGAGGGCUUUGGUGCACCUAAGCAGCAAUUACAGGCCCUGCCACCUGCCUGUCACUUGGGAUUUCCUGCUGGCUCCAGAGGAGACAGUCAGCACUUCAAAAGCAGUGAUCAAAGCAAUAUGAGUGACUUAACAGAGUUUGAACGAUGCCAGAUAGUCGCUGCGCGGCUUUCAGGGGCAUCUGUCACAAAAACUGCACAGCUGUUUAACGUGGCAAGGGGAACAGUCUCCAGAGUCAUGACUGUGUACAUCAAACAUGGACGAACAGCAUCAGCAAAAAAGAACAGCGGGCGCAAGUCAAAGCUCACUGAAAAGGACAGACAGACACUGCUCAGGAUAGUCGACGAACACCCUGAGUACACAGCCUCAAAAAUAACCACAGAGUUGAAUAGACACCUUUCUCACACUGUCUCAGUAAAGACUAUACGGCGUGAGCUUCACAAAGCUGGUAUUUUCAGAGGAGCAGCCAGUCGGAAACCAGAGACUGAGAGUGACACACAGGAGCCACAUGGAAAGAACAAUAAACCUGAACCGGACAAAGAGUGUGACACACCAAAACAUGGUGAAGAGAGCACAAGACCUCAAGUGCAAACAAGUGACAGUGAGUGUGGCACACAAACGCCUGUGGGAGACAAAAUGUUAUCUGAAGCCCAGGCUCGUUUUGAAGACUACAACACAGAAAAAUCUGAGGACACAAUACAACCUGGAUCCCAAGUCAGUGGAGAAGAAUAUUGCACUCACAAGCCUGGUGAAGAGACCACAGGACUUGAACCUCAGACCAGCGGAAAGGAAUAAUGUGUUGUAUUUCAGCCUUUGUCAUAUAUCCAGAUUUAUCAGAAUAAUGUAAAACCACAGAAUGCCUUCAUCCCUUUGUGUCAUCAGCUGUUAUAUGUCACCAGGAAUCUGAAAUAACAUUUCAGUUUCUAUAUUAUUUAUUUUGCAUGAAUUUAAAUGGUGCAAUAUUCAGGCAUUUCCUAAGCUUUUUCAUUUCUCCUAGUUUACCAGCAAACAUACCUUAAAUGUAGACUGUUAAGAAUUAGCCUAAAUAGUUGAAAAUAUCCAUAUCGUAGAUGUUUAACAGAAAUAUUAUGAUAUUGUUAUGAUAAAGGAAAACACUCAGCUUAAAACAGUUAAUGAAUUAAAAAAUUGAGUUUGUCCCUGAUAUGUUGACCCAAGUCAUGCUGAGAUGAUACCUGCUGUUUUACACCCUAUCUUGUACUGUAAAGUGUGGCCUACUUGAGGUUAUAUCUAUCAAGAAAAAACUUUUGUGGAUAAGAUGUGAAACCAAGUAGCAACUACAAUCCCCUAGGAGUAUAUAAUUCCAGCACUGUCUCAAAAAGUCAUACUGUAUUGAAGUCACAGUUGCAACAUACUUUAUGAAAUAUGAAGUUGUGUUUUAUUCCAUAAGAUGUUAGAUUCUUAGCAGUAAAGCUCCAUAAUAUGUGUCUCAUAUGAUGUCUUGAUGGGGGUUUUCUAAAAUAUGUUUUGAUGUAUCAUGAGGGCAUUGAGGGUAACAGAGAAGUACUGUAUGUUUUGGGGCUUGGUCGACAGGUUCUCAAACUAUCAUGCUCAACUGCAGUGGUUGCUGCUUGCUCCUCUCAUCUCAGCUUCACUCAGGCCCUAAACAAAAACAAACUCCAGAUUUCAGAAUGUCACUUCAGCAACCUGGAUGGUGCAGAUGAAGCACUUUUGUCUACUUUUACAAAAUGUAAAAAUGACCUCAUGAAAUGAAACUUUGGAAAUGUUCACAGGCACCACUUAAUCUUUGCUACAAAUGUAUUGAUUGACCCAACUCUAAGGUAUUGAAUCUGAAUCAUCACAUCCCUUCCAUGCCACCUUUGCUUUUGUACACAUAAUGUCGUGUUUGUAGCAUGUGCGUAGCUUUGGCAGGGAUGGGAGUGGGACACAAAGCAUCAGGCAACGUAAUGUUUUUACUGCAUAUUAAAACAUUACACUUAAAAAACAAA